CCUACGUGAGGCUGCAGUGAAGAAUAUUGGUCAAUGGGCGGAAGCCUGAACCAGCCAAGUCGCGUGAGGGAAUAAGGCCCUACGGGUCGUAAACCUCUUUUGCCGGGGAGCAAGGGCCGGGACGCGUCCCGGCCCGGAGAGUACCCGGAGCAACAGCAUCGGCUAACUCCGUGCCAGCAGCCGCCGUAAUACGGAGGAUGCGAGCGUUAUCCGGAUUUAUUGGGUUUAAAGGGUUCGUAGGCGGGCGUUUAAGUCAGCGGUAAAAAUUCGGGGCUACACCCCGUCCGGCCGUUGAAACUGGGGGCCUUGAGUGGGCGAGAAGAAGGCGGAAUGCGUGGUGUAGCGGUGAAAUGCAUAGAUAGCACGCAGAACCCCGAUUGCGAAGGCAGCCUUCCGGCGCCCUACUGACGCUGAGGCACGAAAGUGCGGGGAUCGAACAGGAUUAGAUACCCUAGUAGUC
rnacentral:rRNA from 1 species